UACGUAGGGGGCAAGCGUUGUCCGGAAUCAUUGGGCGUAAAGCGCGUGUAGGCGGUUCGGUAAGUCUGCUGUGAAAGUCCAGGGCUCAACCCUGGGAUGCCGGUGGAUACUGUCGGACUAGAGUACGGAAGAGGCGAGUGGAAUUCCCGGUGUAGCGGUGAAAUGCGCAGAUAUCGGGAGGAACACCAAUGGCGAAGGCAGCUCGCUGGGACGUUACUGACGCUGAGACGCGAAAGCGUGGGGAGCAAACAGG
rnacentral:rRNA from 1 species